GUUUGUUUUCAGGCUGGGAAACAGGUGCAGUUUCUCGAUGGGUCAUGGGCUGCUGAGGCCUGUCGACCACGGUGUGCACACGGAUGGGCGAGGGGGAGUGGAGUGGCGUGCUGCUCCUGGCUGGUGAGCCCUCCCGGCUCGAUGCACCCUGGACAGAUGACCUGAACGGGGAUGCCGCCCGCAGGGGCCGGGGCUCCCAGUCAU
rnacentral:lncRNA from 1 species